rnacentral:lncRNA from 10 species
AACCCGCUCGGGUCCCCUUCCACACUGUGCUUUGUUCUUUAGCUGUUUGCAAUAAUCUUGCUACUGCUCACUCUUUGGGUCCACGCUGUUUUUAUGAGCUGUGAGACUCACAUGAAGAUCUGCAGCUUCUUUCCUGAGUGGAGACCACGAGCCCACCGAGAGGAAGGAACAACUCCAGACGCUCUGCCUUAAGAGCUGUAACACUCACUGCGAAGGUCUGCAGCUUCACUCCUGAGCCAGCGAGACCACGAACCCACCAGAAGGAAGAAACUCCCAACACAUCUGAACAUCAGAAGGAACAAACUCCAGACGCGCCACCUUAAGAGCUGUAACACUCACCUCGGGGGUCCGCGGCUUCAUUCUUGAAAUUUCUUUUCAACCAGUUUUCAGGCAACAUUUUCUCACCAAGAAAGACCUCAUUAAAGCUCUUGUGGAGAAUAUAGAUAUGGACACAAGCCUCAUUUUGGAAUAUUGCAGGCAUUGAGUAUUCUGAAACAUUUGAAGUCAUACAGAAGAAUUUCUCCUCCCGUGGAUCUAGAAUAUCAGUAUAUGU